ensembl:lncRNA
AAUUUGGGGCCUAAGUUAAAGAUUCACAGAGAAGUCAAAAGGCUACCAGACACAAAUACUACCUUAAGAGCUCAGCUUCUGGGAGAGAAAAACCUGGGUUUGGAUCCAGCUGUACUCAGUAUUUCUGGCAUCUCAUCCAAGCACUUGACUCCUCUAAGAAUUGUAUUUCUCAUUUUUAACAUGUGAGUAACAACAGAAGCAACCUCUGUGAUGGUAAAGGCUCCAAGGUGGGUUUGCAUUUCCCACUUGGAAAGAAGGCCAACGCCCCCAGAAAGGAGUGCAUGUGGCCAUUCAAGGGUGCCUACUGAUUUCAUCCAUAGUAUGCCAGGUGGGAUAUGGGAAGACUAUGUUAACGGUAAUACUUCAUCAGAAAUGGAGAAAACCAAGUAAAAGCUCAUUCAGCUUUACUGCCGAAAACAACUCACCAAAUGUUUGACAUACAAAGAAAACACAGCUUUAAGGGAAUCUUCCAGACCUAGGGAUCGAAUCUAUGACUACUGCAUUGAAGGUGGAUUCUUUACCACUGAGCCACCUGGGAAUCCCUAAUGAAAUAUUACUCUUUACU